UACGGAGGAUGCAAGCGUUAUCCGGAAUGAUUGGGCGUAAAGCGUCCGUAGGUGGCUAUGUAAGUCUGCUGUUAAAGAGUCAUGCUCAACAUGAUAAGAGCAGUGGAAACUACAUGGCUAGAGUGCGUUCGGGGCAGAGGGAAUUCCUGGUGUAGCGGUGGAAUGCGUAGAUAUCAGGAGGAACAGCGGUGGCGAAGGCGCUCUGCUGGGCCGCAACUGACACUGAGGGGCGAAAGCGAGGGGAGCGAAUGGG
rnacentral:rRNA from 1 species